rnacentral:ribozyme from 1 species
AAUAGAUAUUGGUUGCUAUUACCAUUGCCCCCGUUCUUAAUAGAACGCACGAAAGUUAUCAGGUAUUAUUCUAUGGAAACGACCCCGGU